GCUGCAGCUAACGCAUUAAGCACUUCCCCUGGGGAGUACGGUCGCAAGACUGAAACUCAAAGGAAUUGACGGGGGCCCGCACAAGCGGUGGAGCAUGUGGUUUAAUUCGAAGCAACGCGAAGAACCUUACCAGGUCUUGACAUCCUCUGACAAUCCUAGAGAUAGGACGUCCCCUUCGGGGGCAGAGUGACAGGUGGUGCAUGGUUGUCGUCAGCUCGUGUCGUGAGAUGUUGGGUUAAGUCCCGCAACGAGCGCAACCCUUGAUCUUAGUUGCCAGCAUUCAGUUGGGCACUCUAAGGUGACUGCCGGUGACAAAC
rnacentral:rRNA from 1 species